UUCCCCCCCUUACGAGAGGGUUUUUAAAGGUGUUAGGAAUGGAUUCGGGUAGCUGGAGAUGAACCUGUGACACCUUUGGGGCUAAUUCCCGCAAAGCAGCUAAAACUGGAGCUUUGCCUUGAGGGCUCCUGCAGACCGAUCACCUGGGCACCUUAGGGGCGGCAGCAGCAGGCAGAGACUUCUGUGCUCUGAAGAAGCCCGGGAGGUGAGACUCCGAGAAGAGAGGAGUUCAUUUACCCCAGUCUCCAGAGAUCGCAGCGGUGGCUUUGGUGAGUCCCACUGGAGAACCCUGUCCCUGCUGCCGUAUCUGCGGCUAUAUUUACACCACUGAAUCAGGUGGGAUGAACAGAACUGCCCAAUCAACCCAAAGAAGUAGAAUAAUAGUUAUUAUAAUAAUUACUGUCUUAUGUUAAGUUACUAAGUUUUGGGGGGUUUUGUUAAACUACCUGA
rnacentral:lncRNA from 1 species